UGAGCGGAGCCGGAAAAGGAGAGGAGCAGAGAACCUUGAGAAUUAAUAUUUCUCAAUAAUUGAGAAAUCUCAAUUUCGCUGGGAAAAAUUGAUUUCGCUUCUUCGACUUCAUCUCAUCAUAUAAAAUACUAAAGAACUCUCCUCAAACGAUGCGAAGUGAUGGCUCUGAGUCGAUCAUCUGUGAACAUUAAUUCACGUCGAUCGGAGCUUGUCUGUGUCAAGUCUUUCUGCAGUAUCUAAGAUUGGUUAGGUGUUCCAGCUAGCUCUCUGGUCGCAUUAAAAAUACGUGUGCCCCGAGUCUAAGAGAAAAACAUCUCAAUUACUUGAAGUUAAGUGGCAGCAGUGGGAAUUUAAAAAAACUCGUACGAGUUUUUCAUUCUGUACCAUAAAAAAAUGGCGGAGAUGGAUCUUCAACCCCGGAAUACUAUUCUCAACCCGUGGAAUUCUCCUCAGCCCCAAUAAACCUCCGUAAAGUACAGAGUGGAGUAUUUUGGCGACUGGAUGGAUAGAAUGCUGUGGACAUCUUCGGAACGGGGGAUGGAGUAAUACUAGUGACUAUCAAACUGGACAGAACAAUUGUUGUUAAAUAAGCUGCGGUUAGUUACUCAACUCUGUGCAGUAGCUACUAGUUCCCGACGCAGAGCUUCUGAGAGACCAAUUAGUAGACAUUGGAGGGUGACGUAAGACAAGAGGAAACUUUGGGUGAGGAACUUUGCCAUCGGCCCGUAGUGGUAUUUCGAAAAUUAACGGGAGGAAUAUCUAAGUGUAUCGGUUCGCUAUUCGUGCGUCGUGUACAAAGGUCCGUAUUGAAUAUACUGUCGUCCGCAGAUUUCUUGUUUUGGCCGCAGUUUAACAUUUACGACCACCUCAGCCAGAAAAGCCAAUAUAUACAAGGAAGGGACGUAGUUGUUCCGACCCUUUUACAUUUCGCUAUCGUUGGCAGAAUUGUCGAGUUUUUCUUCUCAUUCUCUCUCAACUACUCCUAUUCCCGUGUGUGCUCGAUGAUAAUGGAAAUUUUCCCUCCCUUGCUGACCAAUCGCUUUCCAUCACUACCUUGUUGGUCUUUUUAUCUCCAGUCCUGGAAAAAAUUGAAAUUUCCCAGGCUGUUUGCGGCGAGCUCAAGGAAUCGUGACAGUGAAGUCGAUUUACGUGAAAUAAACCGUGAAAGUUAUUAUUUAAUUGGAAAUUAAAUCGAUUAAUUGUGCAAUUUUAUUGA